UUCUCGGACCAGGAAAGAUCUUCAGAGAUGUGCACGCCCAGGAAUUUGAAUCUCUUGACCCUUUCCACCAUCGACCCGUUGAUAUACACGGGACUGUGGGUCCACAUCCUAUCCCUUCCAAAGACCACAAACAGUUCUUUGGUUU